rnacentral:lncRNA from 1 species
AUGCACACAGACACACCCACACAGGCACACAGACACACAGACACACACAGACAUGCAUACACAGAGACACACACUCAGAUACACACACAGGCACACAGAUAUAGACACACACUCAGACACACAGAUAUACACAGACAUGCACACAGAGACACACUCAUACUCACACAGACCAACAUACACUCGUGCACACACAGACACACACUCAGACACACUCAUGCACACUCACGCACACACACAUGCACAGAGACACACACUCAGAUACACACACAGGCACACAGAUACAGACACACACACUCAGACACACAGAUACGGACACACACACAGGGACGCAUACAAUCUCAGACACACAGACUGACACACACUUGUGCACACGCAGGCACACACUCAGCACACUUGUGCACACUCAUGCACAUACAGACACAUGUACAGGCACACAGACACACCCACACACUAGCACACAGAUACACAUACAUGCACAGACAUACUGACACACACUCACGCAGAUACACACAGACAUGCACACAGAGACACACACUCAGACACACACAGGCACACAGACACAGACAUACCCACUCACACAGAUGCACACAGACAUGCACACAGAGACACAUACUCAGAUACACAGACACACACAGGCACACAGACACAGACACACACACUCACACAGAUGCACACAGACAUGCACAGAUAUACAGACAUACACACUCACACAGAUGCACACAGACAUGCACACAGAGACGCAUGCACACUCAGACACACAGACUGACACACACUCGUGCACAUGCAGGCACACAUUCAGCACACGUGUGCACACUCAUGCACACACACAUUCACACUCAUAGCGCAUCCACUGCAGCCUGCACCUCCCUCCCCGCUGUGAGCUGCAGCCCAGCAUUGCUGCAGCCGCCCCAGCUGUGGCGCCCGUGGGGCUGUGAGUUCCCUGAGGGUGCUUUGCGCUGUGUGCCCUGGGCUGGGCCACAGCCGGCGCCCAGCCAUGCCGUUUUGUCUGGUGGGACCAGCUCCACUCUUGUCGCGUGCAUGUGUCCUGGUGAGAUUUCGUCUGAAGCAAGAAUUCUGUGGCCAACCACCCUUUAA